AACGAACGCUGGCCGCAUGCCUAACACAUGCAAGUCGAACGAGACCUUCGGGUCUAGUGGCGCACGGGUGCGUAACGCGUUGGAACCUGCCCUUAGGUUCGGAAUAACUCCCCGAAAGGGGUGCUAAUACCGGAUAAUGUCUUCGGACCAAAGAUUUAUCGCCUUUGGAUGGGCCCGCGUUGGAUUAGCUAGUUGGUAGGGUAAAAGCCUACCAAGGCGACGAUCCAUAGCUGGUCUGAGAGGAUGAUCAGCCACACUGGGACUGAGACACGGCCCAGACUCCUACGGGAGGCAGCAGUGGGGAAUAUUGGACAAUGGGCGAAAGCCUGAUCCAGCAAUGCCGCGUGAGUGAUGAAGGCCUUAGGGUUGUAAAGCUCUUUUACCCGGGAUGAUAAUGAGAGUACCGGGAGAAUAAGCUCCGGCUAACUCCGUG
rnacentral:rRNA from 1 species